GACGAACGCUGGCGGCGUGCUUAACACAUGCAAGUCGAACGGAAAGGCCUGCUUUCCCUUGUGGAUUGCGGGUACUCGAGUGGCGAACGGGUGAGUAACACGUGAGUGAUCUGCCCCCAACUUGGGUAUAAGCCUGGGAAACUGGGUCUAAUUCCCGAUAGGACUGCAGGGUGGUGCCUGUGGUGGAAAACGAUUUUCUAGUUGUUGGGGAUGAGCUCGCGGCCUAUCAGCUUGUUGGUGGGGUAAUGGCCUACCAAGGCGGCGACGGGUAGCCGGCCUGAGGGGGUGGACGGCCACAUUGGGACUGAGAUACGGCCCAGACUCCUACGGGAGGCAGCAGUGGGGAAUAUUGCACAAUGGGCGGAAGCCUGAUGCAGCGACGCCGCGUGGGGGAUGACGGCCUUCGGGUUGUAAACUCCUUUCGACCGCGAGGAAGCCACCUGGUUGGAAGGGUGGUGACGGUAGUGGUAGAAGAAGCACCGGCUAACUACGUG
rnacentral:rRNA from 1 species